UCCGGUUUGGCACCGGCAGUCCUCCCAGAGUCCUCAGCGCUACCUGCUAGCAACUGGGAGCGGGGGUUGCGCUCGUUGCGGGACUUAACCCAACAUCUCACGACACGAGCCGACGACAGCCAUGCAGCACCUGUGCUAGCCCCUUACGGACACCGGCUUUCACCGGCUUUAACUAGCAUGUCAAGCCUAGGUAAGGUUCUUCGCGUUGCAUCGAAUUAAGCCACAUGCUCCGCCGCUUGUGCGGGCCCCCGUCAAUUCCUUUGAGUUUUAGCCUUGCGGCCGUACUCCCCAGGCGGGGUGCUUAAUGCGUUAGCUUCGGCACGGAAGGGGUCGAUAUCCCCCCACACCUGGCACCCAUCGUUUACGGCUGGGACUAC
rnacentral:misc_RNA from 1 species